CCCUUAGAUGUUCUGGGCCGCACGCGCGCUACACUGAUGCAUUCAACGAGCCUAUCCUUGACCGACAGGUCCGGGUAAUCUUUGAAUCUGCAUCGUGACGGGGAUAGAUUAUUGCAAUUAUUAAUCUUCAACGAGGAAUGCCUAGUAGGCGCAAGCCAUCAGCUUGCGUCGAUUACGUCCCUGCCCUUUGUACACACCGCCCGUCGCUCCUACCGAUUGGGUGUGCUGGUGAAAUGUUAGGAUCGGCCGUUUGUCGCGGUUUCCGCGGCUCGUGGCUGAGAAGUUCAUUAAACCCUCCCACCUAGAGGAAGGAGAAGUCGUAACA
rnacentral:rRNA from 1 species